UACGAAGGGGGCUAGCGUUGUUCGGAUUUACUGGGCGUAAAGCGCACGUAGGCGGAUCGUUAAGUCGGGGGGUGAAAUCCUGGAGCUCAACUCCAGAACUGCCUUCGAUACUGGCGAUCUAGAGUCCGGAAGAGGUGAGUGGAACUCCUAGUGUAGAGGUGGAAUUCGUAGAUAUCUGGAGGAACACCGGGUGGCGAAGGCGGC
rnacentral:rRNA from 1 species